rnacentral:rRNA from 1 species
AUUGAACGCUGGCGGCAGGCCUAACACAUGCAAGUCGAACGAGUGGCGGACGGGUGAGUAAUGUCUGGGAAACUGCCUGAUGGAGGGGGAUAACUACUGGAACCGGUAGCUAAUAACGCAUACCAUCGGAUGUGCCCCGAUGGGAUUAGCUUGUGGGGGGGGUAACGGCUCACCAAGGCGACGAUCCCUAGCUGGUCUGAGAGGAGAACGAGCCACACUGGAACUGUGACACGGUCCAGACUCCUACGGGAGGAAGCAGUGGGGAAUAUUGCACAAUGGGCGCAAGCCUGAUGCAGCCAUGCCGCGUGUAUGAAGAAGGCCUUGGGGUUGUAAAGUACUUUCAGCGGGGAGGCGUUACCCGCAGAAGAAGCACCGGCUAACUACGUGCCAGCCGCCGCGGUAAUUC